GUCGAGAAUCUUCCGCAAUGCGCGAAAGCGUGACGGAGCGACACCGCGUGAUGGAUGAAGUCCUUCGGGGCGUAAACAUCUUUUAUAAAGGAGGAAAUUUUUGACGUUACUUUAUGAAUAAGGGGCUCCCAAUCUCGUGCCAGCAGGAGCGGUAAUACGAGAGCCUCAAGCGUUAUCCGGAAUCAUUGGGCGUAAAGGGUGCGUAGGUGGUUUGAUUAGUCUCCCGUUAAAACUUCGAGCUUAACUCGAAAAGAGCGGGGGAAACGGUCAAACUAGAGUAUGUGAGAGGUGUGUUGAACUCAUGGUGUAGGGGUGAAAUCCGUUGAUAUCAUGGGGAACACCAAAAGCGAAGGCAGCACACUGGCACAUCACUGACACUGAGGCACGAAACCUAAGGUAGCGAAUGGGAUUAGAAACCCGGGUAGUCC
rnacentral:rRNA from 1 species